GCAAUGUUAGGGUUUGCGUGAGAUGAAAGUGUGUGAGUCAGAUUGAAUUUUUCAGAGCUGCCUGGGGGUUGCUCUGAGUUCUCUGUCAGGUUUCUCUCCAGGUUUUGUCAAGGGUUUUGUUUCAAGGAAACCUCAGAGUAUUUUACUUCUCUUCCUUUUUCUGUCUGAUCUCCCUCUUUUAUAACCUGAUUUUCAUGGCUUUGUGGGCUCAAAUGAGAGAGGUCCAAGUCCAAGUUUUU
rnacentral:lncRNA from 1 species